UACGGAGGGGGCAAGCGUUGUUCGGAAUCAUUGGGCGUAAAGGGCGCGUAGGCGGCCGACCAAGUCGGGUGUGAAAUCCCUCGGCUCAACCGAGGAACUGCAUUCGAUACUGGCUGGCUAGAGUCCGGGAGGGGAUGGUGGAAUUCCCAGUGUAGCGGUGAAAUGCGUAGAUAUUGGGAGGAACACCGGUGGCGAAGGCGGCCAUCUGGACCGGUACUGACGCUGAGGCGCGAAAGCCAGGGGAGCGAAUGGG
rnacentral:rRNA from 1 species